GCUUAAAAACACCAACCCAGUAGAAACUACUGCAUACAAAAACAAAAAAAUUUAUAACACCAAACGAAAGUCCCAUCUCCUGCUACAACCAAUUAAACAAUAACAUCCUUUCUAGUCCAACUCUAAUCUAAUUCAACAGACUUUCGCACCAUCCCAUUGUGUAAUCCAACUUAUUGCAGUGAUAUUCAUUGAGAUAACAGUGGUGGAAGCAAGACGAAAUCAGACCCAACUAGCCACCAAGGUACACAACCAUAUUAUGGAAGAUCAAAACCACGAUUAUACGUUCUAAAACAACAACAAUGAUCAGAUACAUUCAUUUCAUGGGUAUCCCACGCUAAGCACACCAAAUAAAAUAAGCAACAUCAUCUCCUUACACACACAUGUACUCAUUCUCAUAAUUUACAGAAUUAUGAAUAAACACAACAACAAAGUAAUGUCAACCCCCCUUACGGCACAAAAUACCCUUUAAAACCAAUGAUACAUGCAAAACACAAAUACACAACAUGAGAAAUUUGGUCCCUCCCCUUACCUCACUUCCCAGCGGUUAAGCAUCAACCUUGGAUUCCUAGCCACCUCCAAGUGCUUUCCUUUUCAAUGGUUGGUCUCCAAACCCUUCAUUCUCACUUGCUUCACUCACGGACAUUCACUAGAGAAGAUUUGGUUUUCCACUCUCUCACAACUCUCACUAUUUCUACUGUUGGAUAUAGGGUUAGGGUUUUUUCUUCUUUUUCUCCCAUGGUUUCUCUCACGGUUUUCCUCUAACCCGGUUUGAGGGUUCCUCUCCUUUCACUUAACCUCCCAAAAAUAUCUCCCCCCUCUUUCUUGAUGUUGCCCUCUUUUUUAUUUUAUUUUAUACUUUUCUAAGACCCAAACCAUUCCAACUAUCCGAUAUUCUCUCCCCAAGACUCGUUGUACAUAACUCCCACUAGCUGACCAAAAUCUCCUCUCUUGACAUUUUUCCAUUCCUACUACAUUAACCCUAUCCUUUAAGAUUAAAAAUUAUGUUUUGAAAAAUAUUAAAAAUACCCUUAAUAGAGAAUGAGAAGAACAAGACCUUCUCUAGAAGCAUAUCAAAUUUAAACUUAUUUGCGUCCCUGUGUGCUAUAUGAUGAAAGCCAAAAUCCUUAUAUAACUUUUUCUCUCUUAGCCCAAAAAAAAUAUGACCCAUGCCAAGAAUAAUUAAAGAGUUUCUUUCUCCCUCACGUAAAUACCUCUACAUGCCAAAAAGAACAAAAUAAAAUAUAACCCAGAAAUAAAUGUUCUCCAAUUUCUCUCUCCUAAGGUCAAAGGGUCAAAACAAAAGAAAAGAAAGAAUUAAAUCUCUUUCAUCCUAAAUGCUACAACCACUGUCUCACACUUUCUUCCCUCCAUUAAUGCUUAAGAAACCAAUGAGCAUGUGACAUUAAGCACCCAAGGCAAUGGUAGCAAGAUUUUGACACAGGUUCAUAGGAUUUCAAGCACAUACACAAACCAUUAGGACAGUGUUAUCAAACUGAAACUAUAACACGAUUAAUUACAUUUCAACU
rnacentral:lncRNA from 1 species